CUGAGAGGAUGACCAGCCACACUGGAACUGAGACACGGUCCAGACUCCUACGGGAGGCAGCAGUGGGGAAUAUUGCACAAUGGGCGCAAGCCUGAUGCAGCCAUGCCGCGUGUAUGAAGAAGGCCUUCGGGUUGUAAAGUACUUUCAGCGGGGAGGAAGGGAGUAAAGUUAAUACCUUUGCUCAUUGACGUUACCCGCAGAAGAAGCACCGGCUAACUCCGUGCCAGCAGCCGCGGUAAUACGGAGGGUGCAAGCGUUAAUCGGAAUUACUGGGCGUAAAGCGCACGCAGGCGGUUUGUUAAGUCAGAUGUGAAAUCCCCGGGCU
rnacentral:rRNA from 1 species